rnacentral:misc_RNA from 1 species
AACGCAAAUUGCGCCCGAGGCUUCGGCCAAAGGCAUGUCUGCCUCAGCGUCGGCUUCACCCCUCCCCUCCCUUUCCUUUUCGCAGAAAGAAAAAGAGAAAGGCGAGGGGGACCUGGUUGUCUCGGCCCUCACCGGCCGGGUCGGCCGAAGCACAGAGGCUCGAGCAGGGCCCCGUUCACAAGGGCAACAGUCUGGUAGGCGACCUCCCCGGUCGCAUGCCGCUGGUGCCUGGGGCGCCUGCUGGCCGAGCCCGCAGGAAGUGGCUGCUUGCCACGCCCUCACCCAUUCGACCUGAGUUCAGGCAAGAGCACCCGCUGAACUUAA